rnacentral:rRNA from 1 species
UGAGGAAUAUUGGACAAUGGAGGAAACUCUGAUCCAGCCAUGCCGCGUGCAGGAUGAAUGCCCUACGGGUUGUAAACUGCUUUUGUACAGGAAGAAACAUUUCCACGUGUGGAAACUUGACGGUACUGUAAGAAUAAGGAUCGGCUAACUCCGUGCCAGCAGCCGCGGUAAUACGGAGGAUCCAAGCGUUAUCCGGAAUUAUUGGGUUUAAAGGGUCCGUAGGUGGUUAUUUAAGUCAGAGGUGAAAUCCUGCCGCUUAACGGUAGAACUGCCUUUGAUACUGAUUAACUUGAGUUAUUGUGAAGUAGUUAGAAUAUGUAGUGUAGCGGUGAAAUGCAUAGAUAUUACAUAGAAUACCGAUUGCGAAGGCAGAUUACUAACAAUAUACUGACACUGAGGGACGAAAGCGUGGGUAGCGAACAGG